rnacentral:lncRNA from 1 species
CUCUUGACUUUUCUUCUACAGCAAUGACAUCAUUGGUUUCUGUAGACUGUUCUGGAAUUGAAGAUGCGUUUGGUUGCUCCUCUUCCCUUCGUUCCGUUGAAUGUUGUUCUGGUUCUUUCUGAUUUUCCUCAACUUCAGUAACCACAGGUUCACCUUUUACUGUUUCUGUAGGCUCAACUUCAGUAGCCACAGGUUCUUCUUUUACCGUUUCUGUAGCUUGAACUUCAGUAGCCACAGGUUCUUCUUUUACCAUUUCUCUAGGAUCAACUUCAGUAACCACAGGUUUGACUUUUACUGAUUCUGUCAGAUCAACUUCAGUAACCAGGGGUUCUUUUACUGUUUUUGUAAUUUCAACUUCUGUAGCCACAGCUUCUUCUUUUACUGUCUCUGUAGGAUCAACUUCAGUAACUAUAGGUUCGUCUUUUACCGUUUCUGUUGCCUCGAAUUCAGUAGCUGCAGGUUCAUCUUUUACCAUUUCUGUAGGCUCAACUACAGUUGUCACAGGUUCUUCUUUUACGGUUUCUGUAGCUUCAACUUCAGUAGCCACAGAUUCUUCUUUUACUGUUUCUGUAGCUUCAACUUCAGUAGCCACUGGUUCUUCUUUUACUGUUUCUGUAGCUUCAACUUCAGUAGCCACUGGUUCUUCUUUUACUGUUUCUGUAGCUUCAACUUCAGUAGCUGCAGGUUCGUCUUUUACCGUUUCUGUAGCCUCAACUUCAGUUGCCACAGGUUCUUCUUUUACCGUUUCUGUAGGCUCAACUUCAGUAGCCACGGGUUCUUCUUUUACUGUUUCUGUAGCUUCAGCUUCAGUAGCUAGAGGUUCUUCUUUUACCGUUUCUGUAGGAUCAACUUCAGUAACCACAGGUUCGUCUUUUACGGUUUCUGUAACCUUAACUUCAGUAGCUGCAGGUUCUUCUUUUACUGUUUCCGUAGCCUCAACUUCAGUAGCCACAAGUUCUUCUUUUAGUGUUUCUGUAGCCUCAACUUCAGUAACCACGGGUUCUUCUUUUACUAUCUCUGCAGUCGCAACUUCGGUAACCAUGGGUUCUUCUUUCACUGUUUCUGUAG